GCAAACAAUUCUCAAAGAAACAUGGCCUGUGGUGUGUCAGCCUCGCUAUAAAGGACUGUUUGAAUCCAGCUCCUAGAGCAGCGUUCCCAGUAUUCAAGAGCAGUUGCAUUCGAAUCACGCAACGAUGUUUGUGUGCUGAUUGCUGGGCUUUUGCUCCGACUAGUCGUCUGCGGAGGCAGGGCUGAGGUCUCUGCAUGUGUAACGUGCCCCGAACACCUAUGGAGACGGGUUUUUUUAAUGAUGAUGAUAGAGCUACCGGCAGAGUUGCUGAUCCGGGUGAGGCAUGACAUCGACUCUUAUAAAGGAUUCCACAGGUUCUGUGAAUGGACACAGAAGGCUGAGAAAUGCUCCAAGAGCUGAAUGCUGAGAGAUCUAUUUUGAUUUGUCAAUGAAUUGCUUGUUAGCAUGGAGGAGGAUAGGCAAACGCGUGAAGCCGCCUUAGAGUAUUUAUUAGGGAGGGAUGGAGGCAACCAGGUGACUGGAAGACUGACUACCAUCACCUCGCCACCUCAAGAAGGCUCACAGUGACAUUUCAAGGACCUUGAUUCUUAACCCUGGCUGCCUUGAGAAUUCUCCAGGAGGCCGCUUUUAAAAUAUACCAGUGCCUGGGCCCUACUCCAGACCAGUUAAAUCAGAACCUAUGGGGGUGGAAUGCGGGUGUGCGUGAGCUCUGAGCUUCUGCUUAUUUUAACAGCUCCUGGGGUGACUCUAGCGUGCAGCCAGCUUAGGCACCAUUGCUCUAUGACACACGAGGCGCUGAGUCACCUGCCAUUGCUGACAUCACAAGCAGUUCGUUGUGCUGCCAGACCCUUAGGGCCCAGUCUUCAGAAGCCAUGAAUGUCUGGCAGGUGUUCCCACCUCUUAAGCCACCAUCAGUAGGUUCUUGCCACCUGCUUUCUUGCCACCGUUGAGUAGCCGUGUGCUGCUCCGAGCAAAGGCCAGAGAGUCACACACCUUACAAAUUUUCCGGUUAGAAUUGGGAAUUUUAGCCUUGUGGAAUUCUGUGAUCGGUGGCUCGGCAACUUUAAUAAAAGAGUCAAGCUCUGCAUUCCGUGCGGGGCGGGGUCGCAAAGUUCGGGGAGCCCAGUCCCCUGGCUCCCGCGGCCAGCAGGGCAGAAACCCUCCCUUCCGUGGCGUGAAAGGCGGCGGCGGGCGCGGGCCCUCCACAGCGGGGUCGCGCCUCUUCCACGUGGCUCCGCGAGCGCUUCUGCCCUUCCGCCCGCCCGCCCUCAGGAGCUCCACCUGCUCAGACGCGAGGCCCGGGCCUCCUGGCAGGAGCAGACCAGGCGGUCGGACUCUUCCGCGACAGCCCACGCGGGCAGUUACCGGGGAAAACAACGGACGAGUCCACGAGCAGCCGCGCUUCUUUUAAGGCGGGACAGCGCUGGCCCGGGGGGACCAAAGCUGAAAACUUGGCUCAGAGCAAGAGCGUCUCGUCCUCCUGCCGCACCCUGUGCUGUCCGUCGGGAGGUGCAAGCCUUGAGGGCCUGAAGGACGUUUUCUGAGCGUUUAAGCAAAGUCUUAGGAGAGGCCCACCGAAAAAAUUAAUUUGUUUAAUAUGGUAGCUGAAAGUACCGAAAUAAGUAAUCACAAAGGAAGGAGAUUUUAUCAGUGUCUGUGGUGGGGGAAGAGGCAUUGUGUUUCUGGAAAGAUCUCAGGAAAUCAGGUUUCCUCCGCGUUGGUUUAGGAGGAGAAAGCAAAGGCGACUGUAUGCAGGGCCGAGCGUGCACAAAGGCAAAGAAGGGCUCAAUCCCAGGCGUUGUCAGGGAACGCAAAUGGCUCAGUGAGUCUGAGGCAGAGACAUACGGAGAGACGUGGAAAAAGAUGAGGACUUGUUAUGAAAUAUGUCCCGCUGCAUAUUGUCCAAUAUCCUGUCCAAAUUCUGGAAAUUUAUUUGACAAUCAGUUGGACUUUUGGCUCCAACUUGAUGUGAUUAACAACUCAAACAAUGCCCUAAAUAAUUACUAAUUAUAUUGCCUUCCAGGUCUUUCCAAAUCAUCAAAAUAGUGCCUAAACCUAAGAUGUCUCAGAAUUAGUUUUCUAUUGGAUGCCUUGUCUAGUCUAUUCCAGCAGAUCAUAGUCUCUGUAUUUCUACUGGCUCUCAAAUAUGUUGACACUUAAUUUUGGAAAUCCCUGGGCUAAUUCUGCGAACUUUGAGGUGACUUUCGGCAGAUUAGGGGACUCUUUAAGCACUGCCAGGGUCCCCUCUGAACUUAAUGUUUGAAAUCUGGUAUCGAAACAGAUCCACUCGGAUCUACAGAGUAGAAAAAAAUAUUUGAUAACUAAAAAAGUGCAGAAAUAUGACAUCUGGUGAAAAUUUCCAGGACUUUGAAUCUGUGUCCUGUUCAGACCAUGGUCGUUACAUGCAUCAUUCCAACCAAUGCUCCCUGUGACCUUACAAACCACGGAAGACGCCAAGCUUGUGAGGUCUGUUUUCUGGGACCUCAGAAAUGUAAACCUAGCCUUGGCGCAUCUACAGCUUAUUCUAUUACAGGUGAAGAAGCAGGCACUGUUAUAAAUGAAGAUAAAGGGCAGAUUAAGCUCAUUUUGAAAACACUGAUUAUAUUCUAAACUUGCUUUUGUUUUUAUCUUUUUCUUGGUUAAUUUUAGCCCCAACGCAAAUGUCUUAGGUUUUGAGCAAAAACCGUUUCAUUAAAAUUUUGUAAGACUAUAAGCAGACAUUUUUACACUACAAUAAAAUCAAAAUUGUCCAAGGGAGUUUAUUGAAUAAAAUAUAAAAUGAUUAUUUAGAAUGUGUUAAAUUGGGAAAAUAUUAAGGUGUACAAAACACAAUACUAUGUAUUUAUGUAUUUAUUUAUGUAUGUAUAUAUUUAUUUAUUUAUGAGAGACACAGAAGAGAGAAACAGAGACAUAGGCAGAGAGAGAAGUAGGCUCCAUGCAGGGAGCCCGAUGUGGGACUCGAUCCUGGGACUCCAGGAUCAUGUCCUGGACCGAAGGCACAUGCUCAACCGCUGAGCCACCCAAGUGUCCCUGAUUUACCUUCUAAAGUUGAUGCUACAGAUACCAUAAAACUUACCAAUACUGCUUCUAAGUUUCUACACAGCUGAAAUACAUUUCACACAUGCACCAAGAGACAUGUAUGUGCAAGUGUGUUUAUAGCAGCAUUUUUCAUUAUAGUAAAAAAGCUAAAAGGUAAAAGGUAAAAAUAGUACUAUUGACUUCCAGCAGAAUGGAUAGACAGUGGUAUGUUCAAUGUCAAUGAAUAUGAAUAAACUAUGGUUACACCCAGUAAUGUCACAAACAUAAUGUUGAGCCAGACGCAAUACAUAUUGUAUAAUUCCAUUUCUAUGGAUUUCUCUCUAUAUAUUUAAAAACAGCUCAAAUCACAGUGUUUGGGUAUGUCUGCUUAGGUGAUUAAAAAUAUAAAGAGAAGUGAAGAUUUCCAUAGAAGUCAGUAAACUGGUUUACUGCCUACUUGUAUCAGACCACCUGCCCUAAACCUACUGAAAUUAAUUACUGGGAUUGGACAGAAAUCUGCAUUUUAAAAUUACACCCUCAGUUGACUCAUCUAUUGCAGGUAAGGAGAAGAAAAAAGCAGAGUGGGCCAGCAGCCCCUGCCUCAGGGAUGAUUAGGGCUAGUUUGUUGGCUGAAUGCACAUCCAGGAGCAUUUUGGGACUGUCUAGGCUGACAUCAAUUCUGCUCUUCUACUUCAUACCACGAUUCCAGGUCUCAGGAGCUUGGAGACCCUCUUAUGCCCUUAAUCAGAGACCAAAAACAAUGUGGUGAACUCUAGAAAUUGAGGACUGUCCAUUCCAUACAAAAUAAUGGUGCCUCCCACCAAGACCCUACUUGCCUCAAAAGAAUAUCACAUCUGGAUUUGGGGAAACCCAGCUAGAGAUGUGUUUCGAAGGACAGACACAACAUCUGUAAGUCCCUGAAUUACUCCUCUGCUACUCUGUUCUACACUUUCCUGGGAAAUCAGCACAAUUGCUGCGAUAUUUCCUGUUCCAUUCAUAGCACUUAGCUUAUUCUGAAAACAACUACCUAGAGAAAGACCCACAAAUCCUGUUAAAACAAUUAUGAACUUCACGUUUGAGCUUUUCAUGUAUAAAAGCUGAACAUUUUGCCCUUUUAUGACAAAACGGAAGAAACAAAUCACCAAAGACAAUGAGAAAAUCCAACUCGGGUUGAUUUCAUGGGAGUUCAGGGUUAUGGCUGGGAGUGUAGAACAAGGAGAAGAGAAGAAGCAAGAGUUUACGAAGCCAAAUGAGAAGAGGAGUGAAAAUUCCUCUAAGUAUGUAGGCUGUGGCUUAUAGAUCCAUGAACUCAUUACUUGUUUCUUCUACUUGCUACAGGAUAUCAUCACCUAACUCUUCUGCCUUCAAUCCCAUAGUCUGUAGGGCCGACUCCCGAGAGAGCACAGAUGCUAAGGGACUAUUUCCUCAAAUAAUGAAUUCUUUUAAAAAUUCACAUGAUGUCAAGCACAGUGUGAGUCACCAACUUCUCCUCUUUCCCAUGCACACCAAAUUCUGUUUGGUGGUUUUUCUCCAGCACCUCCAAAUUAUGAAAAACCAUGUAUGAGAAGUAAAAAACCAGCAUCUAAGAACCUGAUAAACUACCAUCUACGAAAGAAAGACUUGCUGAAGACUGUAAGAAUCUUUUUGCUUGUCAUCCAACAGUGGAUCCCUGGGGUAGUGUCAACUCGCAUAUUUAGAAGAAGUGCUACUAAAUUUUAUCCGUGCAGCCCAUUUCCUGUGGAUGUCUCUGGCUAACAGGAACUGGUCCAGGCACAGCAAUAGCAGGCAUGGUGUGAAGACAGACUUGAUGCACCAAAGAAUGAGUUAUAUCCAAAGUGAUAUGGAAAAUUGGUUUGGAGUGUGGCUGAGGAUUGUAAUGUCAGCAGUUUAUGCUUCUCCUCUUUGAAGGCAUGUGGGUUAGGGAAAGGAAAAAGGGAAUUCAGUUUUCAUCCCCAGUCGGUCACUGAAACUGACACCUCAAGGAUCACCGAGGACCAUCAAAUUGCUCUGCCCAAUGACCAAUGUCAGCAACAUUUGCAUUUCCUGUUUUAUAGACUCCCCCAGCUAUCAAGAAAGAAUUCUGAAUAGGAUAUCUGCUACCUCCUAAAGAAGAGGUCUUGCUUGAUAACUUGAGACCAUUCAGACCUCAGACAAGGAAAGAAUGUACCCCUCAGGCCCCACAGUCAUCACCCUUUAUUUACCCCCAGGGACUGCUUUAGGGAUACUUGCUUUGUUAGUUAAUGGUAGUUCUUUGCAAAAAUAAACCUCCUUUUGUGUAGGACUUUUCUGUUUUGAGACAGUGGGAUAAGUAAGAAUGUUGGUGGGGUCUCUGGAAUAUCUGUGGUUCAUGGCUCUUCAGAAUGGGGUCUGAAUCCCCAAGGGCAUUCUUUUAUUCCAUGGAUUGUACCCAAAGGUUCCAAGGCACCAUUGAGAAGGAUUCCAGUUUUACAUUCUGUCUUCUGCAAGCACGAUGUAGUCACCCAGUUGCUCUCUCCUUUCAUCUCUCCCUCCCUUUUGUAGACUAGAGCUCCUCUUGGGUCUCCUUCUUCCCCAGACUGAAAGCCACAGGUGGGAGUGGGGUGGGGUGGGGGGACUUGAGUUCUGUUUCAGCGGCUCAUGAGAUGUGCCUUCUCCUUUAAAUUGUUCACAAGCCCCGCAUCAGCUUUGGCGGGUAGGAGUUCUAACAUGAUGCUUCAUGUGGAGGAGCUCCGGCAAGGUGCCCUACCUACUGUGGGUCUUCUGGCUGGAUCCCUGAGCACCAGCCCACAGGAAGGGGAGCAGAGAAAGUGCGGGGAACAACCCUGGUUCUCCAUCAAGGAAGGCAGCUGAGGACCAGGACCGGGCUUGGCAGAGGAAGGCCCACCCACCAGCCCAUCGCUAAUGAAGGAGGAGGGAGGGAGGCAGCUGCUAUCCAGAGUCCAGAGACAUUAUUAAAACGGCUGUGACCCGGGGUGCCCUUGUCAACUCAGUCCAUGGCUCACUUCGAUCCAAGCGGUCAUUCACUUUCAGCAGCACACAGAUUCUUGGUGAAGGACAUCUGUGCACAGGUAAUGCAACCUCAUACUUCAGGACAGCCAGCUAAAGAGAACUUAAAACUAAAUCUUUCAUAAUCUAAAAUGACACCAAAUGAUAAAUUGAGACUAUAAAAAUUACCCAUUGUCUUGCUGCCUCAAUAUAAACGUCAUAUUUUUGAUAUACUUCUUUUUAUAUUUUUUAGAAGUAAGCAUAUCUGUUUUAAAAUUGUUGCCAUUAAUUGCAUAGUAGUUAAGAAUAAGGACUUCAGAUCCAGAAUACCUGAGUUUGAAUGCUGCCCGUACCACUUAAUGGCUGAACGACUUAAGACAAGGGAUUUAAUUUAGUGCCUCAACGAUCUCAUCUUAAAAAUGGGGAUAAUAUCAGCAGCUUCAUAUGUUUGUUGUAAGGGUUAAAUGGGUUUUUAUACAUACAGCACCAAGAACAAUGCCUAGCUCAUUGCAAACAUUAUAGAAUGCAUUAUUAUUAUAAAAUAUAACAUAAGUAAUGAUAACAAUAAUGAACACUUCGUGUUUUCCCAUGCUGUUUUAUAUACCCGGCACAUAGUUGACUCUCAAAAAAUUUAUGAAAGUAAUUAUAAAGGGGAUCCCUGGGUGGCU